rnacentral:rRNA from 1 species
CCUACGGGAGGCAGCAGUGGGGAAUUUUGGACAAUGGGGGCAACCCUGAUCCAGCCAUUCCGCGUGAGUGAAGAAGGCCUUCGGGUUGUAAAGCUCUUUCGCAAGGGAAGAAAACUUAUGAUCGAAUAAAUCAUGAGGUUGACGGUACCUUGAUAAGAAGCACCGGCUAACUACGUGCCAGCAGCCGCGGUAAUACGUAGGGUGCGAGCGUUAAUCGGAAUUACUGGGCGUAAAGCGUGCGCAGGCGGUUUUGUAAGUCGGAUGUGAAAUCCCCGGGCUCAACCUGGGAACUGCGUUCGAAACUGCAAGGCUAGAGUGUGUCAGAGGGGGGUAGAAUUCCACGUGUAGCAGUGAGAUGCGUAGAGAUGUGGAGGAAUACCAAUGGCGAAGGCAGCCCCCUGGGAUAACACUGACGCUCAUGCACGAAAGCGUGGGGAGCAAACAGGAUUAGAUACCCUGGUAGUCCACGCCCUAAACGAUGUCAACUAGUUGUUGGUAGAGUAAAACUCUAUGUAGUAACGUAGUACUACGCGUGUAGUAGACCGCCGUGGGAGGUACGGUCGCGAGAAGUAAACGUAACAAGUAGAAGUUAGUACGGCGUGAGACGUAGCGACGGACGACGACGAGGGAGGAGG